rnacentral:lncRNA from 10 species
GGCAAGUGAGGAAUAUGAAAUAACCUUAUGGCUGAAUCAGGGUGAAGGGGAAGCUUGUAAGCAUGGAAGACGCUCUACUCAAACUAAAAAGUUCAAGUUCUGAUCCAGCAGAUGAAGAGGGAGGCCUGAGAGGCUGCUGUUCUAACUCGCUCCCAGAGACGGGGCCUUACUCUGCUGCCUAGGCUGGAGUACAGUGGCACAAUCAUAGCUGAUUGCAGCCUCAAACUCCUGGGCUCAAGCGAAACUCCCACGUCAGCCUCCUGAGUACCUGGGACUACAGGUUCAAGUGAUUCUUCUGCCUCAGCCUCCCAAGUAGCUGGAAUUACAGGUACUGAGGAUGGAGGACAAGGGGUCAGUGGAGACCCAGCUUUGAGCAGAGCCCUGCCUAAGGUCCAGGGCUCGAUCUGGCCCUAACCACAGAGUCACCUUGAGGUAUGUAACCCCUCCUGGCUUCAAUUUCCUGACUUUUAGGAGUGUAUUAAUCCUAUUUCAUAGGUAGAGCACUUAGUAAGAAAUUGGUGGCCAGGUGUGGUGGCUCAUGCCUGUAAUCCCAGCACUUUGGGAGGCUGAGGGGGUGGAUUGCUUGAGCCCAGGAAUUUGAGACCAGCCUGGGCAACAUAGUGAGACCUUGCCUCUAC